UCUUACGCAAUGCCACUACACGCUGGAAUCAUAUUAAGAGUUAAUGAACCCUACAGGAAGCAAAUCAUAAGAUUAUGACUGAAUGUGAACGGAGAAACUAAAGAAAGCUAAGCAUGUCACGCAGCUAAUGAGAUUUUACCGUUCCAGAAUAUAAAUUUAUUACAAUUAAUGCAUAAUUCUGCGAGACACAAAGACGUGUUUUCACAGCAGAUUAUCCUCAUUAGAGGGAUUAUGCUCAUUAAACACAUGUACUGUGUGUUGUUGAUGAUGGAAACGGACCAGUGCUGUUGAACUGGCGCCUGCUGGAGACUGCAUCUUCAAAUUGUGACACCUACCCAUUGCUGGCCAUAGCUAUCUUCCAAGUCAUUGAGAUACUUAUCGUCCCAGUUGACUCGAAUUCCUAUUAAAUCGGAGGGCAGGAAUCCGUUCUCGGCAAGAAUUACAAAGU